GAGCAUGGGCGGCAGGCUACACAUGCAGUCGAGCGCGAAAGCACUUCGGUGUGAGUAAAGCGGCGGACGGGUGAGUAACGCGUAGGAAUCUACCUAGUAGUGGGGGACAACUCGGGGAAACUCGAGCUAAUACCGCAUACGCCCUACGGGGGAAAGCGGGGGACCUUCGGGCCUCGUGCUAUUAGAUGAGCCUGCGUUGGAUUAGCUAGUUGGUGGGGUAAUGGCCUACCAAGGCGACGAUCCAUAGCUGGUCUGAGAGGAUGAUCAGCCACACCGGGACUGAGACACGGCCCGGACUCCUACGGGAGGCAGCAGUGGGGAAUAUUGCGCAAUGGGCGAAAGCCUGACGCAGCCAUGCCGCGUGUGUGAAGAAGGCCUUCGGGUUGUAAAGCACUUUCAAUUGGGAGGAAAGGCUCACGACUAAUACUCGUGAGCUGUGACGUUACCUUUAGAAGAAGCACCGGCUAACUCCGUGCCAGCAGCCGCGGUAAUACGGAGGGUGCGAGCGUUAAUCGGAAUUACUGGGCGUAAAGCGCGCGUAGGUGGUCUGUUAAGUCGGAUGUGAAAGCCCCGGGCUCAACCUGGGAACUGCAUCCGAUACUGGCAGACUAGAGUGCGGGAGAGGGAGGUAGAAUUCCACGUGUAGCGGUGAAAUGCGUAGAUAUGUGGAGGAAUACCAGUGGCGAAGGCGGCCUCCUGGCUCGACACUGACACUGAGGUGCGAAAGCGUGGGUAGCAAACAGGAUUAGAUACCCUGGUAGUCCACGCCGUAAACGAUGUCUACUAGCUGUAGGGGUACUUGAGACCUUUGUAGCGCAGCUAACGCACUAAGUAGACCGCCUGGGGAGUACGGCCGCAAGGUUAAAACUCAAAUGAAUUGACGGGGGCCCGCACAAGCAGUGGAGCAUGUGGUUUAAUUCGAUGCAACGCGAAGAACCUUACCAGGCCUUGACAUCCUCGGAACUUUCUAGGGAUAGAUUGGUGCCUUCGGGAACGCAGUGACAGGUGGUUGCAUGCUGUCGUCAGCUCGUGUCGUGAGAUGUGGGUUAAGUCCGCACGAGCGCAACCACGUCUUUAGUGCAGCAUUAGUGGGCACCUCUAGAGAGACCGCUGUGAUAACUGGAGAGGUGGUGGAUGACGUCAAGUCAU
rnacentral:rRNA from 1 species